UGUGCCCACACUACACCUUUGCUCAGCCUCAAGUCUAUUCCUCUCUCAGCUCCAUCUCCCGCCGCGCGCAACGAUGGCCACCAUUGGCAUGUUCAACGAGGAGGGCGAGAAUGUUGACCUCUACAUCCCGCGCAAGUGCCACGCGACCAACACGCUGAUUGAGGCGCACGACCACGCCGCCGUGCAGAUCUCGAUCGCGAACGUUGGCCCGAACGGCGUGAUCAACGGCACGACGACGACGCUGUGCAUUGCUGGCUACCUGCGCUCGCAGGGCGAGUCGGACCACGCGAUCAACCACAUCACGAUCGACCGCGGCAUCAUGCGCAUCAAGACCGGCAAGCCGAAGCGUGCGUCCAAGUCGAAGUCGAAGAAGCCCGCCGCGAAGGGCGCCGCCGCUGGCGCUGCUGCCCAGAAGGGUGGCCGCCCGUCUGUUCAGAAGGGUGCGCGCCCGGCUUCGCAGAAGGGUGCCCGCCCGCCAACGCAGAAGGGUGCCCGCCCGCCUACGCAGAAGGGUGCCCGCCCGCCUGCGCAGAAGGGUGCCGCUCCGGCUCGCAAGAACCGCGCUUAAGGCAGUUCAAAGGGGGAGGGGCGAAGUUUGACAACAACGAAGCAACAGAACAACGAGAAGGGAAGACACCGCUAAACGCCGCAGCGCGAGAGUGCGCUCGGACAGGCACACGCAGCCUCUUUCUCACUCGCCCUGUCUGCCUUUGUGCCGCUAAUCCGUGUCCGCCUCACACCCCCGCCUUCUCUCGGCUCCCUUGUGCGCGCGCCUUUUUGUGCUUCCCAUCGCGCUGGCGUCAGAAGGCAGAUGGAGCGGCCGUUCUCGGAGGCCACGUGAUCGCCUCCUGCACCCGUGUGCUUGUCGACGCCUGUGGCCGUCUACUUCCUUGCGCAAGUCCUUCUCCUACGCAGCUUCCCUCGCCGAGCCCGGCGCAUCGCAACGCAGGGGUUCACCCAAUGAGUACGCGCCUACACGCACGCGCAGAAGUUUAGAGGAGCAGCUCAUUCAAGUUGUGUAGCAUGUUUCUCCGUACAAAAGCGUGCGUGUGCAGCUUCUAAAGAUGUGAUGGGCACAUCCGGUGUGGGGGGAGCAGGGAUAGGUGCGAGGACCUCGAACUCGUGCAGGUGACGGCGACGAGGGGGCAAGUAAGGCGCAUCACCUUCGUUGAUACCCCCCGCAUCUCUUUGCUAAGUGCACUGCACCUCCCUCCUCCUGCAUUUUGUUUCUUUCUAUCGUGUGCCGCGCACGGACUCGUCUACACCGCCUGCUCUUCCGACCGUACCACCGUCCUUGUUGGACUGGGCUUGGAUAGGAGAGUGGCAGCGGUGGAGCGCCGGUAACGUUGUGGCCGGUGGUGGGUUACAGACACGCAGGCGAGAGGGGGAGGUGCGAGGGACUAGCAAUGACAAGGUAGUUCUGGUGUUCUUUAUAAUCGACCUUGACUGAGGCGCUUCUGCAUCCUCUCCAGUUCGCACGGGGAAGAUAAGAAGACUUGAGGGGCUGCGAAAAGGGUGGUGGAAGGUGGGGGCGGCAGAGAAGGCAACGGCGAGUGGGGAUUGGAAGAGAGAGCCUAGUGGUCUGCAUGCAUACACCCGUACAAGCGGGCCGCAGCGAGCACCGCCUACCUCCAUUCCUCUAUCCCUGCUCUGCGGGUCCUUCCUCCCCGACCCCCUUCUCCCCGCGCGCGGCUUCUCUUUGGUUUUCUUUUCAGUCUCUCCUGUGCAGCUUGGAAUUGCCUCACAGCGGCAAGCCAGCAGCGUCGGUUGGCCUUCCUCUCUGUUCUCUUUCUGAUGUGUUGCUACUUUCCGCUUGCUGUGCCGCCGCUUGUUCACGUGUCGCUCUCGCCUUCUCCCGCUUCGUAUCGUUUCUUGUAAUGGGCUACCAGGUACAGCUGGAGCGAAGCCACGGCCCAGAGAACGGGGUAGGAGGCUGUCAUUGCCUAUCAGGUGGACGGCAAGUCGAACUGCACCGAAAUCGGGAGUGUGGUGGGGUGGGCUAGAGUCUGACGAUGUUGUGCAGACUUUGUUUGGUUCCUUCGGCAUCCGAGAGGGCGGAGCUACGGCAUGGUGAGAGGGCGCAAGCGAUAAAAAAGCGAAUGGACACACGUGAUUUGGAUUCGAAGGGGAGCGUCUCGGCCAGAUAGGGGGGAGGAGGAGGAGGUGAGUAAGCACGUAGGCACACUUGCACACACACACACACACACACACACACUGGCACGUGCAUGUAUUCCACCUCUUGCUCGUGGUGGCGCUUUCUUUUCAUUUUUCUCUUUUUUUUCGCGCUGAGCGAUCGGGUGUUUGGGGCGCAGCGGCAGAGGAAGAGGGGUUGACGCACGGCGACAGCGCAGACUCUUGCAUCCCCCUCUCUCGCUUGGUGCGCUGCUCCCUUCCCUCUCCAUGACUCACGCAUCAUUUUUAGCAUAAACAGCAACG
rnacentral:misc_RNA from 1 species